UAGUGUGAUGUAUGUAUACGACUUUGUAAGGGUGUAUUCCUGUAGUCUCAUUAGGGUGUUGGGAUACCAUACUGUCAGGUAGAAAAAAAAUGUUUCACGACCAGACCCUGGAAUCUUGAACGAGAAAUGAAGUAUUCCAGUGAUGAGGCCAUUAUCAACAGCUCGUAAAGACAGGAAAGGACGCGCGCGUGAGGAAUCUGUAUCUUCAAUAUGAAUAUCCUCCUUUGGGUUAUAUUUGGAGCCCUGUAUUUCUCGCCUUUGUCAGAUCGAGAGCAGUUAGAGGCCACGACAGCCCUGACAGCCGGAACUCUUAUUACUUAACAUCGAAACGGCCAGUCUAUGGAUACUUCUCCGCUUCCUUAGGUUUGAUCCGAGUGUUAAACGAUUCUCAAAGGACGUGAUGGAAGAUACAGGGAUAACGGCUUUACUGAGGGACAUGGGAAUCCCUACCAAGGGCAGCUCUGGUACCAACAGACCUCCUCCUUACUCUCCAUACGACUACACCAGUGGUCAGUACACCAGUGGUCAGUUCGGUGGGGGGUACGGACAGCAGUACUAUCCUUAUAUGUACCAGUAAAUCAUGUGUUUGGGAAUUGUAUAUAUAAUGUGUGGAUUGAAAAUAUCACUUUUACCAGUAAAACGAAUGUUUAUAACUAAUUCAGAGACUGACGGCCAUAUAUGUAUAACUAAUUCAGAGACCGACGGUCAUAUAUUUAUAACUAAUUCAGAGACCGACGGUCAUAUAUUUAUAACUAAUUCAGAGACCGACGGUCAUAUAUUUAUAACUAAUUCAGAGACUGACGGUCAUAUAUUUAUAACUAAUUCAGAGACCGACGGUCAUAUAUUUAUAACUAAUUCAGAGACCGACGGUCAUAUAUUUAUAACUAAUUCAGAGACUGGCGGUCAUAUAUUUAUAACUAAUUCAGAGACCGACGGUCAUAUAUUUAUAACUAAUUCAGAGACUGACGGUCAUAUAUUUAUAACUAAUUCAGAGACUGACGGUCAUAUAUGUAUAAAGCCCUGUAAAACUUGUAUUCGAGAAAUUAAUAUUUAAUGUAUUGGUUGAAAGACUUACGUGUAACAGAAAAAAAAAUCCGCGGGAUCUUUUCAGCUAAUUCUGUGAUUGACAGUAUGCUUUUUGACAUUAUGAACAAAGAUUAUUGUAUUAUUUUAUCUAAUAUGCAGAAAUCCUACGGAAAUGUGUUAUGAUAUUAUUAUUAUAUACAACAAAAAAUAUAUUUAUUGGCACGAAAGAAUUUCUUCGGAAUACAUUUAAACUCUAAAGGAGGGACGCUCAAACUUCAAGGGGAUGAUCGUUAAGUGUGUGAAUUUGGUAUUGUGAAAGAAAUAUGCAACAUUCUUUUCUUACUUUCAGUUAUUAUUAUCAAAUUGUCUUUGUCGAGAAUGUAGAAACUUCAGAUUCCAACGGGGAUGAAUGAUUUCAAAAUUAAAGAAAAAACAACUUUUCUCAGGAGUAAGCCUGGACUCGUCCUUGGGUUAUUGUAUUGGACGUUUUGUCAGACACACAAAAAGUAACGAGUGAUUUUUUCAAUCCGUAGAUUAUAUGAAAUAUUGUAAUGCCCUGGUCUGUAAUAUUAAAAACACGAACACUAACUAGCAUUCAGACAAUUGAAUUUAUUUCAAAUUGUUAAACGAAAAUAAAAAUAAAAAGAUAAUAAUGAAACAUUCAGCUGAUGCACAGAGAUAGGAUAACAAACUUACUGGACAGGGUUGGCGGUAUUAACAAAUGUUUUUUGUAACCAAAACAUAGUGCAGGGAAUUUAUUACGAAGUCUUUCAGUGUUUCCUUAAAUAUAUUUGUUCAGUAACUGAUAUAAAAACGUAUAUCGUUUAAAGGGAUAUAUUUCACCUCACACAAAAAUGAUCAGUUCACUUUUUACGCUCUUGGAGUCCAAAACAAAACAAAACUAGUUGUUUACCAAUUUGUUUACCGGCGGUAGUUAAAGCCUGGUGGUUAUUUUGGUAAUGUAUUCCUUGUAUUUUGACACGACUUUAAAGUUUCAUUGUGAUAAAUGUCUAUAAACAAUACUUGUGGUGAUGUCAUGUUCCAUGGCGACAUUAUGUAAUCAUUGCUAUGACAUAAUGUUUCACGACAGAAUGGCAUCACAAUAAUAUGAUGACGUCAUGUUUAUAUGACAGUGUCAAUGUCAAUAUAAUUUAGAUAUAGAUGCUCACUCUCACUACGUUACACGUAGUGAUAAUGAACAUCUAUGUUUUAAUUAGAUUGUGCCACCGUAAUAUAAACGUUGAUGAGAAUUUCUGUCGGCUAAAUAGAAUACCUCAUGCCAAGGGUUUCUCACAUAUGUAAUAAUGUAGGGUGUGACAGGGCGUAUCAAUCCAAGAGCCCAUAGGUAACACUGCGGCACAGUCUUCAUCCGCGACACGACCAGACGGUGUCCCUGGGGACCAGUUGGAAUACCGAAGUGAAACACCUGCCCUGCCCCAUCUCCAUUCACCUUCUACAUCGAUAUCAUUAGCGGCCAUGAAUACGGUUUGGAGGUCUGCAACGAGAACAGUAAUGAGUUAUCUAUCCAGAUUUUCUGGGGAAUGUUUCCAGCAAUAUUAGAAAUAAAUAUGAAUUGCAAAUCUUUAUUUAAGAGGAAUGUUUUGAAUCACUUAAUUAUUUGUACGUUCAGUGUUUCGAAGCGAUUAAAGUGAAGCUUUUCCCUUUGUAUAACUGCGAACUGAACCAGUAAAAAUGUAUGAUCGCAAUUUUAA